rnacentral:lncRNA from 1 species
UUAUUUCUAAAAUUCAUAUCUCUCUUAUUAUUGGUCCAAAAAUUAUGCGACCAAUUGCAUUAUUUCUCUUUUAAUUUCUAGUUUCUAAAAAUGAUUUUUAAUUUUUUUUAUUUCAUCAUUUUCUAUUUUUUAGUAAUUUUCUCUUUUCUGGUUAUUUUUAAUUCAUUUUAAAUAGUUUUUUAUAUUCAAAAAAUACAAAAAUAUUUUCUCAACCUCUUUGAAUGAUG